CUGUUCUCAUCAUGAAGAUUUCACAAACCAGGAUCCUUCACCUGAAUCUCUGCGUCUUUCUUACUUUACUGACUCAUGCAGAUUCUGAUUCCAGUGUUGCAAAGAUUCAUCAUCAUGUCUACACAACUGUCUAUGAAGGAGACACAGUGACACUUCACUGCAACACAACUCCUCAGAAUGAAGAUAUCACAUGGAAAAUGAACAACACUGUUAUUUUUAGUGUCGACUCAUUUUAUAACAGAAAUAUGACAAACUUUACUUCAGAUAGGAUGUAUAUCAGUCCAGCAGAUCCAACUGAACUGAAAAUAAAUCAAAUACAAACAUCUGAUGCUGGAAACUAUUCCUGUUAUAAUACUAAAACAUCAAUGAGAUGGAUAUUAACAGUCACAGGUUACUCCACAGGUUACUCAAGGAUUUCUUUGCUGGAUUUUCAUCGUUCUGAGGGUUGAUUGACUGAUAUGAGAACAGAAUUGUUUGGUUUGUUUCACAGAAAACACACCAGAGUCACUCAAGCAACUAUUACUCUACAUCCUCAUCUCAUGUGCUGGAGUUAUUAUGGUCUGUCUGAUGAUCGGCUUCAUCAUCUGCAUUUACAGGAGAAGGAAAAACAACAGAGAUGCUCAUGUUCAGAGAGCACCGGCUCAGGCAAGCAGAAUAACGCUAGCCAGGAGGAUCGUUCAGUGUAAAUCAGAGGUCAAAAGUAACGAUAGAAGAAGUUACAGCAUAUAUGCGAAUGUUUAAAAAAAUUGUGUUGUGAUCAAACUUUGUCUAAAUAUUAAGUAGUCGUGGGCAUAUACUUAUUGUUGUAUAUUUUGUAAACUGUUUGGUUUGGAUUGGAGGACCUGUUGGAUUCAUGUCUACAGCUCCGGCUGCCAAAUUCAGCAAUGGAAAACAGCUUGGUUCUUUAGGUCCGUGUGCAAACGGACCUAAAGCAAUGCAAAUUCAAAAAUGAAAAAUUGAUCCGAAAUUUCUGUUUUUAAUUUUUGGGAUGUAACUUUGUCAAUGGAUUUUUGUCCUUUUUGUUAAUUUUGCUAAAUUGUGACUCAACAAACGAUAAUUUAAAGAAAAAAAAAAUUACCGAAACUAACCAAUUUUCAUCUUUUUAACUUUUUCUUUGCAAUGUGGGCUGUAC